UGAGGAAUAUUGGUCAAUGGUCGAGAGACUGAACCAGCCAUGCCGCGUGAAGGUGACGGCCCUAUGGGUCUUAAACUUCUUUUGUAAGGGAGCAAUAAGUCUCACGUGUGGGAUGAUGAGAGUACCUUACGAAUAAGCAUCGGCUAACUCCGUGCCAGCAGCCGCGGUAAUACGGGGGAUGCGAGCGUUAUCCGGAUUUAUUGGGUUUAAAGGGUGCGUAGGCGGUCUGUUAAGUCAGCGGUGAAAUUUAGGGGCUCAACCUCUACCGUGCCGUUGAUACUGGCAGUCUGGAAUGCGGAUGCCGUGGGAGGAAUGUGUGGUGUAGCGGUGAAAUGCAUAGAUAUCACACAGAACACCGAUUGCGAAGGCAUCUCACGAAUCCGCAAUUGACGCUGAGGCACGAAAGCGUGGGGAUCAAACAGG
rnacentral:rRNA from 1 species